rnacentral:rRNA from 1 species
CCUACGGGGGACAGCAGUGAGGAAUAUUGGUCAAUGGCCGGAAGGCUGAACCAGCCAUGCCGCGUGAAGGUCAGUGCCCUAUGGGCGUUAAACUUCUUUUGUGCGGGAGCAAUAAUGGUCACGUGUGGCCAGACGAGAGUACCGUACGAAUAAGCAUCGGCUAACUCCGUGCCAGCAGCCGCGGUAAUACGGGGGAUGCAAGCGUUAUCCGGAUUUAUUGGGUUUAAAGGGUGCGUAGGCUGUGAGGUAAGUCAGCGGUGAAAUGCCCCCGCUCAACGGGGUGAAGUGCCAUUGAUACUGCCUGGCUGGAAUGCGGAUGCCGGGGGAGGAAUGUGUGGUGUAGCGGUGAAAUGCAUAGAUAUCACACAGAACACCGAUUGCGAAGGCAUCUCACGAAUCCGCGAUUGACGCUGAUGCACGAAAGCGUGGGUAUCAAACAGGAUUAGAUACCCUUGUAGUC